ACGGAGGGGGUUAGCGUUGUUCGGAAUUACUGGGCGUAAAGCGCGCGUAGGCGGAUCAGAAAGUUGGGGGUGAAAUCCCAGGGCUCAACCCUGGAACGGCCUCCAAAACUCCUGGUCUUGAGUUCGAGAGAGGUGAGUGGAAUUCCGAGUGUAGAGGUGAAAUUCGUAGAUAUUCGGAGGAACACCAGUGGCGAAGGCGGCUCACUGGCUCGAUACUGACGCUGAGGUGCGAAAGUGUGGGGAGCAAACAGG
rnacentral:rRNA from 1 species